rnacentral:tRNA from 2 species
GCCGGGGUGGUGAAAUUGGUAGACGCGCUGGAUUCAAAAUCCAGUUUCCUUCGGGAAGUGUCGGUUCGAGCCCGACCCUCGGUA